rnacentral:lncRNA from 10 species
UUUUUUCGAGACAGGGUCUCAUUCUGUCACCUAGACUGGAGUGCAAUGGCAUGAUCUCAGCUCACUGCAACCUCCACCUCCCAGGCUCAAGCAGUUCUCCUGCUUCAGCUUCCCAAAUAGCUGGGACUACAGGGUCUCCAAUAUUUGAGAACUGACACAUUCAAUGUAAAAAUAAUCUGAGUAAAACCAUCAUCUAGUCCCUUUCCUUUGAGACCCAUUUUUUUUUUCCUCAUCCACAUCCUACCUAUAAGGGAGGAAGCAAAGUGAAGAACACAGAUUUCACAGAUGGGAUGCCUGGCUCAAAUUCCAGCUUGACCGCUGGUAGCUGUGUGACCCUCG